rnacentral:rRNA from 1 species
ACUCCUACGGGAGGCAGCAGUNAGGGAAUAUUGGGUCAAUGGGCGCAAGCCUGAACCAGCCAUGCCGCGUGCAGGAAGACUGCCUUAUGGGUUGUAAAACUGCUUUUUAUAUGGGAAGAAACCCCUCUACGUGUAGAGGCUUGACGGUACCAUAAGAAUAAGCACCGGCUAACUCCGUGCCAGCAGCCGCGUAAUACGGAGGGUGCAAGCGUAUCCGGAAUCAUUGGGUUUAAAGGGUCCGCAGGCGGUCAAUUAAGUCAGAGGUGAAAUCCUAUAGCUUAACUAUAGAACUGCCUUUGAUACUGGUUGACUUGAGUUAUACGGAAGUAGGU